rnacentral:rRNA from 1 species
GAUGAACGCUAGCGACAGGCCUAACACAUGCAAGUCGAGGGGUGGCACAGAAUAGCUUGCUAUUUGGGUGACGACCGGCGCACGGGUGAGUAACGCGUAUGCAACCUGCCUAUAAGAGGGGGAUAGCCUUUCGAAAGAAAGAUUAAUACCGCAUAAUACUGUUUAUCUGCAUGGAUGAACAGUUAAACUAUUUGGCUUAUAGAUGGGCAUGCGUUCCGUUAGAUAGUUGGUGAGGUAACGGCUCACCAAGUCAGCGAUGGAUAGGGGUUCUGAGAGGAAGGGCACCCACACUGGUACUGAGACACGGACCAGACUCCUACGGGAGGCAGCAGGGAGGAAUAUUGGUCAAUGGGCGAGAGCCUGAACCAGCCAAGUCGCGUGAAGGAUGAAGGUCUUAUGGAUUGUAAACUUCUUUUAUAAGGGAAUAAAAAAGAUCACGUGUGGUCUAUUGCAUGUACCUUAUGAAUAAGCAUCGGCUAACUCCGUGCCAGCCGCCGCCGUAAUAC